rnacentral:rRNA from 1 species
UUGAAAGGGAAACGAUUGAAGUCAGUCGUACCGACGAGAAAUCAGCUUUUCGAAUGUGCAUUUGGGUGCGUAGGAGAUCUUCCUGGUUUGCAAUAUGCGUAUUUUUUUGGUGUUCUUUUUCGUAUCGUAGGUUAACGUCGGUUUUUUCGCCAUAAAAUGAUAGGAGGAAGACAACUUCGAAGUCGCAUGAAGUCUAAUUGCCUUUGGUAAAUGUGGUGAUUAGGACCGAGGAUAGCAGAAAGGCCUCCAAAGAGUCCGUCGGACCUCUGAAAAGAGUUAGGUGCCGAAAGCUUGCCCCGGUCAUUUACUCGAACGGUCAAAAGGCGGAGGUACGACUGACUCCAUUAAGGAUGUUGACGUA